rnacentral:rRNA from 1 species
GACGAACGCUGGCGGCGUGCCUAAUACAUGCAAGUAGAACGCAGUUGCGAACGGGUGAGUAACGCGUAGGUAACUGCCUCAUAGCGGGGGAUAACUAUUGGAAACGAUAGCUAAUACCGCAUACUGUGAGAUGGACCUGCGUUGUAUUAGCUAGUUGGUGAGGUAAAGGCUUACCAAGGCGAAGAUACAUAGCCGGCCUGAGAGGGGUGACGGGCAAACUGGGAAUGAGGCACGGGCCAGACGUCUUAGGGGGGCAGGAGUUGGGAAACUUCGGGAAUGGACGGAAGUCUGACCGGGGCACGCCGCCUGGAUGGAUAAAGUUUUCGGAACGUAAAACCCUGUUGUUAAAGAAACGGUAACUAACCAGAAAGGGACGGCUAACUACGUGCCAGCAGCCGCGGUAAUAC